rnacentral:tRNA from 1 species
GGGCAGGUAGCUCAGUUGGUAGAGCAACGGACUGAAAAUCCGUGUGUCGGCGGUUCAAUUCCGCCCCUGCCCA